GCUGUGCCCUCCGAUGGACAGAGCUAGGCAGCAGAUCCUGCAGGGCCCCUGGGUGAGCUCCUCAGGCUGUGCUCCUCAUCUCGUCCCUCUCACACCCUCCCUCUGCAGCCUGUGGGCUACACAGGCACGUAAAGAGACUGCCGAUUCCCCCAUUCCUCCGUGCUUUUGGCUGUGGGUGAUGACCUUGAACUCUCUGACAUGUCCUUGAGCAGCAAGGCGUGAGGGGGCAGGGUGUGGCAGGCCAAAAGAGGAGAGAGAAAGGACCAAUCAGCGGCAAGCUCGAGGCGCGUGAAACUAAGGCUUUAACCUAUCAGCGAGCAGCUGGGGGUGCGUGGACGGGCGCGUGAACAGCAGCGAAGGUAUAUAAUGUUGGUACAGGUAAGAGAGAGGUUUUUUGGUCAAAGCACGUGCUGCUGUUCGUGGGUUGGUGCUUGCGAGUGUCGCCCCUACGUGGGGCAAAAAUAAGUGCGGAAGGAGCAGCCGGCAGGGGGUCCAGGUGAACGGAUCAAUCAGCGGAGGAGCUGACAGACGAGGGUCUCAAUCGCCUGAAAGGGUAGGCUUCUGUCUCACCCGCCGGUGCCCUGCUGGACUCCCAAGAAGGACACUCUCCUGAAAGGCUCCUGCACACAGGGGAGUCUGAAAUCCCGGCUGGAGAAGGAGCUCCCCGUGACCGUGUCAGAGGUACCGAGAGCUCUACAGGAGAGAAGGUUACUGCUUCCAGUCCCGCCAACUGUGGCAGCCCUGUCUUCCCCUGCCCCCUCGCCUUCCAAGCUGGAAUCCCCUGCUCCGGAAGAGACAUUGUGGAAGCAACGCAUGCAGAAUAGCUUCGGGAAAGCUGAUGUACUGGGGCUUCUCUGUGGAGAACUCGCUGGGCACGCAGGGCUGUUGUCUGCAGCGCAGCCCUGAGUCAAGGGCAGGGAUGGCACCCGGCGGCACCCAGGAGGCAGCGCAGGCAGCAUGUUUCCGUGGCAGCCCUCAGGAAUGACGAGGCAGCGAUGAUCCUGUGCUCUGCGGUGAUGAAGGAAAACUGUCGCACGUCAGUGGUCAUCAAGGCCUGGAAGGAGCUGGAAAAGAGACUCUUUGGCUUUGGAGAUUCGGUGAAGAUGCUGAUGGUCCCCGUUUGUGCGGUCUCUGUGUAGGACUCCUUGAAGUGCUGAGCACAAUGCUCUGAUGGUCAGAGUUGGUCAUCAUUGUGCUUUGAGGAGCUAUCUCUUGGGAAUAAGUGAGCUAGGUUAUGAGGGAGGCAAGCUCGAAGCCAGGGACAAGGGAGCUGCUCAGUCUCCUUUUCCUGCCCUGACCUCCUUGCUGCAUUCACCUUAGGUGGCGUCACGUAGACGUGAGCCAUCACUCUGCUUUCUGCUCACUUUCUGCUUGCUGAAGAUGGAGCAGUUCAGAAUCCUGAACUCUCCCAAGUGGGGCAACAUCACAGGUUUGGCUCUGGGCUAGAGUAUGAAAGCUCCCUUGUGGAAGAAGGUCUGGCUGCAUGGAGCUGCACUGGGUGCCCCUGUGUGCCUGCUCAUCUCCCAUAACGACCCUUGCCCAUUAAGCAGCUUUUUGGGUGGCUUCAGAAGGGUUCCUCAGCACAACUUCCCCCCCUCCCCCGGUGUCUUUCUCUCUCCCGAGCUCCAGGGCAGGCUUCUGUCUCGCCCCCUGGUCCCCUGCUGGACUCCCAAGACGAACACUCUCCUGAAGGACUCCUACGCAUGGGGGAGUCAGAAAUCCCUGCUUGAGAGGAAGCUCCCUGUGCCUGUUCCAGGGGUACUGAGAGCUCCGCAGCAGAGCGGGCUGCUACUUACAGUCCCACCAGCUGUGCCAGCCCUGUCUGCCCUUGCCCCUCACCUUGCGACCUGGAAUCCCCUGCUCUUGAAGAGACGUUGUGGAAGCAACACAUGCAGACCAGCGUGUGGAAAACUGAUGUACCGGGCCUUCUCCGUGGAGAACUCGCUGGGCACGCAGGGCUGUUUUCUGCAGUGCAGCCCUGAGGCAGGGAAGGCACCCGGCAGCACCAAGGAGGCAGCGCAGGCAACAUGUCUCCAUGGCAGCCCUCAAAAAUGACGAGGCAGCGAUGAUCCUGUGCUCUGCAGUGAUGAAGGAAAACUGUCUCACAUCAGUGAUCAUUGAGGCCUGGAAAGAUGUGGAAGAGAGACUCUUUGGCUUUGAAGGUCUGGUAAAGAUGCUGAUGGUCCCCUUUUUGCGUGCUCUGUGUAUGGCUCCCUGAAGUGCUGAGCACAAUGCUUUGAUGGGCAGGAUUGUUCAGCGUUGUCCUUUGAGGUGUUAUGUCUUGGGAAUAACUGAGCUGUUUCACCAGAGAGGCAAGCUGAAAGCUGAAGAUGAGGGAGCUGCUCAGUCUUUUUCCUGCCCUGACCUCCUUGCUGCAUUCACCUUAGGUGGCGUCACGUAGACGUGAGCCAUCACUCUGCUUUCUGCUCGCUUUCUGCUCGCUCCAGAUGGAGCAGUGUCGCAACAUGAGAAACGUGUACCGUGUUCAGUGUGAUUCAGGCAGCUUCUCUGCCUACAUUGGGUUUGCGGUAUCAUCCCAGCACCAGGCAGCAGACAAGAAGGUACUAAGCAUGUUGUGUGUCAUGCCGGCCUCUGAGGAGGAUCCUGCAUCGCCUGGUGGGCAAGGGGAAGGAGAGGCAUGGCUCUCUUCUUCAUCCCUUUGCAGACCAGCUUCUCAUCACCUUUACAGGCCAAUGGCAUGGGGAGGAUACAGGCAGGCGGAAGGAAGGUGGAGCACUGGUGCAGCAGCAGAGGCAGAACAGGCCAGAGGUCAUCCUCUCUCACCCACUGCUCAGCUGGUUCUAAUUUCUUCUCUCUCCUGCCCCAUCAUCCCGGUCUCCGCAUGCCAUCCGUCAGGAGGUUCCUCUUUUCUUGGGCGCAGGAUGGGCGGUGGUAUUAGUCCUACAAAGUCUGGCUCUCUUUGCAGGUGUCUUGCGGCGGCUGCUGCAGGAAUGAGGUGACCUGGGUGCUGAGGUGGAGGAAGAAGAGCAGGUGCAGCUGUGGCGCUAGAAGUUGCGCAGCCUGUGGUGCAGAGGCUGGUGUGCAGGAGCAGGAGAAUGUGUGGGAAGCACAGGGCUCUGGUCAGUCUCUGGUGGGGCAGAGAGCAUGUAAAGAUUUGGACUGGAAACAAAAGGCUGUUCCUAAUGGCAAGUUCUGGCAUGUAACCACAGGAGCCUAAUGGUAUGGUGGUUGAUCUCUUUUAGUUUCCAGGCCUGGCAAUUCUUCUGAUCACUCCCCUUGGCCUUCCUGCCCAGGAAAGGACCAGGUUGCAUGCUUGAUGAGCCCUGAAGGAAAAACUGCUCCCAUGCUACAUACCCUUUAUGUCAGGCACCUGCAGGCAACUUGUGGCUUGAAUGGAGGAUCUUAUUCCAAAUUCCAGCCACCAAAAGUCAGCACGCUUUCAUCUGCUGACAAAGAGAGCCUUCCAGCAGAUCCCCAUUUGAGAAAAGUCCAGACUGACCAAAUGGCCACCCAUUAACAACUUUGCUCAGCUAAUGAAAGCUUUAUUAGAUUCUCUCUGUAAGGGAAAGUUUUGCAGGCCUUAGGAAGUCUCAUUUUCACAACCUUGCUCCAGGUUCUCCCCCUCUAUUUCAUUUGUUUAAUGCUCAUCUGAAGGUCUCCCAGAAGUUUCAGCUACUCUGAGGGAAGCUGCUCAAUGCAGGUUAGCCCCUGCAUGGAUUUGGAGAGCAUUUGAAUAGAAGCAAUUGCUGCUCUUAUCUUCUUCCUUUCUGCCAGUCCAAAGUCUGUAUAUUUAUGACUGGUUUUGUUUCCAGACACUGAAUACAAAUAUUUAAUGAGAAUUGUUACCUCUUUUGCAUCACUGCAUAACAGUUCUUUACGAGGUAUACAAUUUCUACUCUUACUGAGUCUAAUCCUGUGGCUCAAGCAGGAGGGAGGCUUAGUAAGUUACACACUCGAGAGCCAAAUGAGGCUGCGCCGUGGUCAGUGCUCAGCAGGCUUCUACCAGACGUCUCCUUGCUGUGCCCUCCGAUGGACAGAGUUAGGCAGGAGAUCCUGCAGGGCCCCUGGGUGAGCUCCUCAAACUGUGCUGCUCAUCUAGUCCCACUCACAUUCUCCGGAAUGCACACACAGCUCUGUAGCCUGUGUGUUACAGCACAGAGAUGCUGCUUGUGGGGUUCUUUCAGCCUGGGGACAGCCUUGGGGACAGUCUGGCCAGGUCUCCAAUGCCUUUGCAGGCAGAGGGGAUGUGGGGCAGAGCAGGGGAGACAGAGUCUGAAGAGGUGAAGUGGUAGACUGUUGUCCCCUUGAAGGGAUGAGCAUCUGGUGUGGUGGUGCAGCCUAUGCCGGAGCCAAUGUGGCUGCCCCCAGAGGCACCCGGCAAGCGCAGGCAGGGCUUUGCUAGAGAAGAGCACUAAAAACCCCAAGUCCAUCCUGAUGAGACCUCAGGGUAGCUUAUCCUGGUUCCUCUCUCAGCACACGCAGAUGGGAGGAAGCGGCCCUGCAGCCCCUCUUGGCCUUUCCACCCACUGUUCUCCCCCUUCGGGAGGGUUAAGCACAGCCUGCCUUUUCCCACAGGGUUUCUGACCUUGCUUGGUUCUGUUAACUGCAUCUUUGGCCCUUGCUCCAGGCAGCCCGCUUUCGGACGAUGAAUACCGGGCCUUCUGUCUCAGCCUGCGGCCCCCGUGAAAGGCAGAGGUGUUGUGCACCAUGCGCCAGACAUAUGGCUGCCUUAGCCCAGGAAUCCUGAAGCUGGACCGGAAGGAGGCCCAUGGGGUUGUCGCCAAAGUUAAGGGCAUCACUCCACCUUCGAUGGCACGUAUGGCCAUUUCCCCCCCCGGAGCAAAGCUGGCGGUUUCUCUGGCCUAAAAUGCCACCAGAUUAUAGGAAUGUUGGUGGGAUGGGUUACUUUCAUGUCUAUAGCCCAAAGCCUGGGAUGGAGCAGGACGCUCCCAGCAGUAGCACCAUGGCUUUGUGCAAGGCAGUUUGCAUUUGUGGCCUCUCUGGGCAUCCCUUCCAGUGCUGCGUGCAUUUCCUGGAGAGAAAAAAAGCUUUUCUUAAUGGGAAGACCUACCCUCCCAAGCAGGAAUUUGCAGUGUUUUCCCUCUUGCUUUGUCUGGCACAACCAAGAAAAGUCUGACUUUGUCACAUUGUAGUUUUCCUCCAGGUCUUUGUGGAGGAAAAGCUUUCCUCCUUCUGCUCUUCAGUCAGCUGAACAAGUGCCCCAGCCUCUUUUCAAGGGUCAUUGGCUGAAAGCCGUGAUGACUUCAGCGGCCCUUCCCUCAGUUCUUCACUUCCUCCACCUCUCCCUCAGUGGGAUGACAGCAGAAAAAAACUGGGCACAGCUUUCUGAAGCUCAUGGAAGCUCAUUGCCUCUCCUCAACGGUUUUUCUUGCAACCAGACUGGCUCCUUCGAGCUUGAUCUGAGGUUUAGCGCAGAACCUUGGCUCAUGAGAGAGACCAGCAAAGAGAGCCCAGCAGACACUUGACUGCAUCAAGUUUUCCUUCACUUCCCAGGUGCUGGAAUGAAAACGUACUUUUCUUCUUCCCUCAUCCCAAAACAGGAAUUUUUUCUGUACCAUCAUAGGAAUAGUUUAUGACAGAGUUCCUUGGGUGCAGGAUGGGCAGUGGUAUUAGUCCUACAAAGUCUGGCUCUCGUUGCAGGUGUCUCACUAUGGCUGCCACAGGAACAAGAGUUCCUGAGUGCUGAGAAGGAGGGAGAGGAGCAGGUGCUGCUGUGGUGCUGGAAGUUGCACAGCCUGUGGUGCAGAGGCUGCUGGUCGGGAAUAGGAGGAUGUGUGGGAAGCACAGGGCUGUGGUGGGGCAGAGAGACUGGAAAUAUUUGGUUUGGAGACAAAAAGGUAUUCUUGGAUAUCUGUUAUCUUUGAACUAAGGUGGCUGUUGAGGUGCGGUGUUCCUGCACAGUUCUCCUUCCACACUGUGUUCACUCCAGUGCUGAUUGGUCACCUGUGGUGUUGAUGGCCUAUCUCCACAAUGUUUCCCUUUAAGUCCUGUGUACACUGAGGAAGCUACGCAUAAAUUGGCACAGCCCAGUUCUACUGCGAAUGUGUCUGGGAUGUAUUUUCUCAUACUCUGUGCAUUACAAAAUUAACACAUAGCUAUUCUGCUGAUUACAGCAGUGCAAAACAGCACAAGUAGCAGCACAACAGGGAUCAUCUAUGGGACAGCUAUUUUGCUUUAGGCCUAUUGAUCAGGCCCUGUCACUUCAGCAUUGGAGAAGGCAUCAGCUUUGUGGACCGGGAUUUAGAGCCACUGGCCCAUGCUUCAUUGUCUGAAGUUCCCAGCCACUCUUGGCUGCAUCCUUCUGCAGAAGUCAGUAGUUCUUCCAAGGUUGUGUCUUACUGUAUUCUACUGAGUCUCACGUAUAAAGAGCCUGUUAGUCUCAUGAACCUAAUUUGCUCCCUUCUCUCUGAUGCUGCUGCUCUGUUUACACUCCUCAGUGACGUCUCACGUCUGAGGUGAGUCUCCACUCACUCCUGGUGUUUCUCACUUGCUGCAGCCUGUGUCCUCUGAGCAUGAGCACGGCAGCGCGGCCUCAUCCCCUGCCAGCCCAUGGGACAGAGCACAGCCAGGUAUCUUCCAGGUUUCAGGUACAGUAUGUGAAGAAGUUGACAUGCAGGCUUUGCUUUUCACUGCAGCACUGCAGUUCAUGGUUUUCUUUGGCCUGUCUGUCCCCAGUCUCUUUCUGGAAGAAUUCAAAACACAAAAAGCUCACUGAGGCUGCUGAGAGGGUGCCGAGUGGGGAGAACAUAGGAGCUUUCUGUCGGGGUGGCAAACCCCAUGUCUCCUCCACUCUCUCUCAGGCCAUGUGUCUCCCGCGCACCUUCCCCUGCUUCCCCAUGUCUCUGGCCAGGCUAUCCUUUCCCAGGCUGCUUCGACAGCCUCCCACCAUCCAGGUGUGCUGCCCUCAGUGGCAGCUGUGCACCUCCACCAGGUGCUGGCACUGUUUGCUCUUGACAGAGCAGCACCAGCCACACUUGCAGCUGCACUGCUCCACUCUCUCUGUGUGUAUGGUGUGGAAGCUCCUGCCACAGCACAGGAGCUUGUGAUGAUCUAUGGCUAGAGGGGUCUACUUGCACUGGCAGUGAGAGGUGCCUGCGAUCCUGUACUGGGGGUCCCAGUCACAGAAGUGUGGGCUGUCCAUCAGGUAGACCAGCUCAUGAGUUGUGUAGGGCUUAAAGUGAGAGGUCUUGGGCACCAAGAGGUUGUAGGAACCAACCUCUAGCUCAUGAAGAUGACACAGGAAACAACAUUCCUUACUAUUAAAGAACUAUUAACUUGCCAGGAUGUUUCAUUUGUGGGCAGGCAGUUGAAUUCUGGCUCUGAAGCUGGUUCUGCUUGUGACUCUCUGGGUGCUGGUAGGACUUGUGCUGCUCCACUCCCUGCAUCUGCACAAGGUAGAGGGGAAACUAACAGUUAGUGAAUUGGAUGGUGAUAGUUUUGGGUGCUCACCUUGAUCCUCUGGUGUUUUCUGUCAUACGAUUAAGGAAGGAGCAAUGGUAAACCAUUGGAACAGGCUGCCCAGGGAAGUGGUGGAGUCUCCAUCCCUGGAGGCGUUCAAAAAGCAUGUAGACGUGGCACUUCAUGACAUGGUUUAAUAUGCAAAGUGGUGUUGGGCUGAUGAUCAGACUCGGUGAUCUUAGAGGUAUUUUCCAACCUCAAAGAUUCAAUAAUUCUGUGAGUUUAAACCUUGUAGCAGAGGAGGAGGGGUUUGUGAGUCAUGGUCCGGGGCUUUCAAGAUGCUUUCAGACAUUGCUGCUGUUGGUGGUGCUUGUGCUGGAACACGCAGAGAGGAAAAUGCUGAGAAAUAGCUGAAGUAUUUAAGGCAACAACAAGAAUGACUUGGAAGAGGAGCUUGUUCACUGAAGGGUGGUCUCUCACAAACCAGACAGGCUCUUCAGAAGGUCAGAAUCAACACGGCAAUCCAAUAGUGACAUGGAAAAUGCAAAUCCUUUCCUUGUAACAGCUGUGAGUUAUUGGCAAUUUUUUUCUUCUGAAAUAUGUUCACUUCUUGCCUUUUCUCUUAAGAAAACUAGCCAGAAACUCCACUGCCAGCGUCACCCAGUUUUUGCUGUCUAGUUCAUUGUGUUCAUCCCAGUACACUUGUAUUUUCUUUUCCAGACCUUUGAGGUUACAAGUCACUGUAGAUGAGCUGUGCUAACUGAAAGGGUGCAAGUUCAUGCCAGGGACAGCAUGAAAAUCCAGGUUGUGUCCCUGCAAAUCUGCGUGGCAGCAGGUGUGACCUGGGAGAGAAAAUCCGGUCCCAACGCUUGCAUGGCAAAAUUUGCAUGAGCAAAACUUGCAUGAGCCGGUACCAGAUGGCUAAGUAUCUAAUACAGUUUUAGCCCAAUAUGUAGAAUCAGAAUCACUAGGAUGGAAGGGACCCACUGGGUCAUCGAGUCUAACCAUAUUCCUAACACUCCUUAAACCAUGCUCCUCAGCACCUCAUCUGCCUGUCCCUUUAACAUCUCCAGGGAAGGUGACUCAACCACCUCCCUGGGCAGCCUGUUCCAGUGCCCAAUGACUCUUUCUGUGAAAAUUUUUCCUGAUGUCCAGCCUGAACCUCCCCUGGCGGAGCUUGAGGCCAUUUCCCCUUGUCCUGUCUCUUGUCACAUGGGAGAAGAGGCCAACUCCCUCCUCUCCACAACCUCCUUUCAGGUAGUUGUAGAGAGCAAGAAGGUCUUCCCUCAGCCUCCUCUUCUCCAGGCUAAACAACCCCAGCUCUCUCAGCCGCUCCUCAUAAGUCUUGUUCUCCAGCCCACUCACCAGCUUCGUUGCUCUUCUCUGGACACGCUCCAGAGCCUCAAUGUCCUUUUUGUGGUUAGGGGCCCAGAAGUGAACAUGGUACUCAAG